rnacentral:rRNA from 1 species
UACGUAGGGUGCAAGCGUUGUCCGGAAUUAUUGGGCGUAAAGAGCUCGUAGGUGGUUUGUCGCGUCUGCUGUGAAAACCUCCCGCUCAACGGGGGGCCUGCAGUGGGUACGGGCAGACUAGAGUGCAGUAGAGGAGUCUGGAAUUCCUGGUGUAGCGGUGGAAUGCGCAGAUAUCAGGAGGAACACCGGUGGCGAAGGCGGGACUCUGGGCUGUUACUGACGCUGAGGAG